rnacentral:rRNA from 1 species
UAGUGAGUUUGAUCCUGGCUCAGAACGAACGCUGGCGGCAUGCUUAACACAUGCAAGUCGAACGAGACCUUCGGGUCUAGUGCGCACGGGUGGCGGUAACGCGUGGGAAUCUGCCCUUGGGUACGGAAUAACUCAGAGAAAUUUGUGCUAAUACCGUAUGAUGUCGAAAGACCAAAGAUUUAUCGCCCAAGGAUGAGCCCGCGUAGGAUUAGCUAGUUGGU